AUGAGUCGACCUGAUGGGAUCAACAUCCCCGACGGCAAGUUCUACCUUGAAGAUGCUGGCUAUGCAUGUCGGCCGGGUAUUCUUCCACCCUUCAGGAAAACCAGGUACCAUCUCAACGAAUUCUCUGGUAGGAACUAUCCUAGGGCACAUGAGCUGUUUAAUCUCAGACACUCCAGCCUUAGAGUAACUGUUGAGAGGGCAUUUGAAGCUCUGAAGAAUAGGUUCAAGAUCCUGGAUCAGAAGCCAUUCCACCCAUACUCCACUCAGGUCAACCUUGUUCUUGCUUGUUGCAUUCUGCAUAACUGGAUCCUCCAGUGGGGCUUUGAUGAACACGUGCCUGAGGAGGAAGAGGUCGAGCCUGACGAUAUUGUUAGCUCCGGCCAUGGUGUGGAGGCAUUUGACAAUGACGCUUGAAAGAACAAAAGGUUGGAGUGGACAGAGGCAAUGUGGCUUAACAGAGGUCAGUGCAGGAUUUGA
rnacentral:rRNA from 1 species